rnacentral:lncRNA from 1 species
UUCAACGUUAUGAUAUCAGGCUGAAAACCCAUCCUGAAAAUCUUGGUCAAUACAGAGAAAGCAAGCACCAUACGACCCAUGCCGCAACAACAAUUAAUUACGAUGCUCAAAGUAACUAUGCAGGGAGCAAUUCCCCUGGCUUGCAAUUGCUGAAAAAGGGAAAUGGCGGGGGAGAAAUGGUUGGUCUUGGCAAGAGACCCCAAAAUCUUGUUAAAUUGCAUGAUAGAUGGAGGGCGACGCAUGGAGAGCAUGCGAGUGAAGGAAUCAACAGCUUCAUCAACAUGGCGAGGGGAUUUGAGCUCAGAAUGAGAGUGAAGGCUUGACAUUGAACAUGAACAGGCAGGAAAGGGAAAAGAGGGGAUAUGAAGAGAGAAGCUGAAUCUGGAGAAUGAGAGUGAUGAAAAUGAUGCUGCACGCAACAUGUUUCUGUAAAAUCUGAUCAAAUGAGACGAAGGAGUUGGAAGAGAAAAGAGCGAAUUGAAUGGUGGAAACAAUCACUGUUCAUGGAAACAAAGGUUGGUUGAGACUUGAUAGUUGCACCAAAGCAAAGAACCAUGCUAGGGUGUCAGCUAAAUGGUAUGAUUUGCAAUUCUAUUAUUAUUAAAGAUUAAAAUAGGGUAAAACACAACAUUAAACCAAAUCUAAUUCAAUAUUACAUAAUUUAUUCAAAUAAAAAAGUUACAUAGAUUUCUCCGAUAAUUUCUCUAUGUAAAUAGAACGAAUGAGUUAGACUAAAUUUAGUUCUUUAUAUAAAUCGAAAUACGUUGGUUCAAUUUUUGUAUCCAUACUGUCCUAAUAAAUUUAAUCAUCUUAUUCGAUUUACUAGGACAGCAUGCAUAAAUCAAAACAAGAUGAUUAAAUUUACAUAAAGAAUUAAAUCUAGUCUGACUCAUUCGAUUUACAUAAAAAAAUAAUUAGGGAGAUCUAUGCAAUGUUUUUUAAUUUUAAUAAUUAUAAUUUUUUUAUUCAUUUGAUAAUUUAAAUAAUUAUCAAUAAUUAUACACUACUCACAUAUGGUUUCUACCUUCUUCGAUUUUCUAUAUUUAUGAUUGCAUUAAAUUCUCGUAUUCAAUUUUUUUUCGUUUUAGUUAAGUUUAAAAUUUUAAACAUUAUUUUAGAUAGUAACGUACACGAACAAAAAUUACUAAUUUCUACAAAAACCGAUGUGAUUUAAAAUUGUUCAUUUGAAACUAACAUUAUUUUUAUAAAAAUCAACACAUUUAAAUUAGUAUUAAAAAAAUUAGUAUUCCAAAAGAAUAAAAAAUUAUAAAAAAAUAAAAAUUUUAUUUGAUCAUAUAUAAUAAGAAAUUCAAAUGAGUUGGUUUUUAGAAAUAUAAUAAUUUAUUGGUUUUAAAUGGAUAGUUUUAAAUCACUACUUUUACGUAAAUUUAUCUAUUUUUUUUUAAAUUAGUGAUUUUUUUAAGUGUAUGCUAGUAAUUUAAAACUAACUAUCUAUCUCUACUGUUAUUUGAAACCAUCUAUUUUAAAAAGUUCAGUACAAAUAAAUAUGAAAAAGUUAUUAAUUUAAAAUUUAAAAUAUAAAUAAGAUAUAAUUUAAUUAAAGUCGAUCUAAAUUUCUAAAUAGUAACAAAAUAUAUCAAUUUUUAUUUUUUAAAUUGGUCUAAAUUAAAUUAUUAAUAUUAUUUUAUUAUUUUAAAAAAUUAUAUUUUUAUAUUUAUAACUUCAUAUAUCUCGUUUAUGAUAAAAACGAGAUAACUAUGAAUUUAUCUCAUUAUGUGUAUUUUUUUUAAUUCUAUUAUCUUGUUUGUAAACAAGAUAAUGCCAAAUAAAAUAGUGUCUUAUAUCGUUUACAGUGUAAACGAAAUAUAAGCAAUUUUAAUUUGUUUACACGACAAACAGAACAUGUAAAAAAAUAAAAAUUGGUAAAUAUGCUACAAAUUAUCUAUAUUCAUAAAUAAAAAAUGCUAAGGAAGUGGAGUUUUUUUUAUUGGACUAUUGUGUUCAACUCAUUUUAAGUAGAAACUAAGUAUAAAAAUACGUUAAAAUUUAAAUUCAGAAAUUUAAUUAAAUUCUUGAGUAACCAGAAGGAUAAAAAAUAGUAAAAUACAAUUUUUUUUUUCUCAAGAGACAUUAAACUAAAAAAAUAUAUAAUAUUCUUAUAGAUAUAUAAACAAAUUAAGGUUAUAGCUGAUUUGUAUAUAAAGUAAAAGAGGCAAAUAUUAAAUUGGUACUCGAAAGAUUUUGACACUGAUAAAAUGAUACAUGACUUUUGUUAUUGAUAAAAUAGUCCUUCAAUGAUUUUAAAAUUUGACAAGUGUAUCCCUAAAUUCGCCGGAACACAUUUUCGGUGAAAACGAUACUAAGGUGGCCACCGUGAUUUGAUGACAAGGCAACUUUAUUUUGAGUUAGAAUUUUUAAUUAAAUAAAUUCUAAUCCUACCUGAAAAAUCUCUAAAUCAAUUUAGAUUUGCCUUAAUUAUCUACCCUUAUUAUUAGUUACUCUGAUUAAAUCUCCCAUUUUUUCACUAAGAGCUAAACUAAAAGGUCACAUAAAGAGUGAGAAACGUUUGCUGUGAAAGUCAAUCUUGGUGCGAAGGAGAAGGAAGAGACGUGACACGUGAGAGACAUUGAUGAAUCUGGAACUUUAAGUGCAAGGGAUUGCAAAGAGCAUCAUCGCGACUCCAUUCUUCGCUGUGAAUGACCUUACGAUGGUUUUAUGUACAUUGCCUUUAUAGACAACUUUAUGAUGACUUUGAUUGUUUUGGCAGUUUAUCAUGUUUGUUGUUUGUUUUCUGCACUUACAACAUUGCUAUAGUCGUUAAGGAUGUAAACCCCUCUUUUUUUUGCCACUAUCAAAGACAUAUGACUAUACUUCUAGUUUAUUCAUUCUAUCUUCCUUCUACAAUUUUUUAGAUGGAUCGUCUAAUUACAUUUGUGUAUCAUCACAUAGGUUCUUUACAAAGGGGUGGGGACGGUAAUGUCACAUACGAAGGGGGUUUAGUAACUGAGAUUCAUAGGGUGAAUGUGGAGACAUGCAAUUUAUUUUUUAUUGAGGGCUUAUUUCUAGACUUGGGGUUACUCUGGAUAUAAUGAAGUUUAUUGGUUGGAACCUGAUCUAGAUUUAGCCAAAGGCCUGAGAGUGCUUAGGACGGAUACUGAAGUUAUGAGAAUAUAUGAAAGAUGAAGAAUGACAACAUUGUUCAUCUUUAUUUUGACCACCCUAUUAAUGUCAACCUUGACAUUAUUGAGGAAGAUGUGGUCUCUGAUGGUAGUAGUAAGACUGUGUAUGAAAUCAAUCCACCUGCUGAUAAUAUGCACGAAGAUGAAGUUACUAAUAAGAAAAUUGGUGAGACUAAUGAGAAGGAGAAUGAAGUUAAUGUUGAAAUGAAUAAGGGUAAUGAAGUUGUGAAUGAGCCCACUGUUGUAGUGAAUGAGAGGAAUGUUGAGGUUAAUGAGUUGAAUGAAGGUGUGAAUGGUUCUAUGAAUGAAGCUGUGAAUGAAGUAAAUGGAAUAAUGAGAUCGGAAUUGCAUCAACUCUAGAAAAGGGUGUUAAGAAGGUUAGAAAGAGGCAUCCAAGACCACCACCAAAUGGUUUACCCCAACAAAAAAGGAAUGGUGAAUCUGGACAAGUUAAAACAGUAGAUGAAGCCACACAUGAGAAUGAUGCUUAUGAUGUUAAUAAUGAAGGUACCAACGAAGACCGCAAUCAAAGUGCUUCUCAUGAUGCUAACGAAGGUGCUAAUUUAGACCAACCAAUUGUGGAUGAGAUCGUAACAGAAGUUGUAUCAAAAAACACAAUAGGUAAACCUUUUUAUUAUGUUUACUUAGAUAAUUUCUCCGAAAAAUGUUGUACCAUUGCUGUGAAACAUGUUUAUAUCAUUGCAUAAGUUGCACGAGUUGUUUACCUUUCUUAAUUAGUUUUGUGACAGAUGAUGUUACACAAACAAAUGAGAAUCCAAACAGAAGAAGAAAUCAUCUAAGGCCUCAAUCUUCUUGACAGAGAAUUGUUCUUGGAAGGGAUAAUGAAGCACCAAGGGUAGAGGUGCCUAAUCCGAAUAGAGAAGCUGGAGACAGUGGACCUGAAAUGUAUCAAUACGAGUAUGAAGAACUAUGUAGCCCUCCUGGGUUAGAUGAUGAAGCGAAAGCUAUAUGUUCUCAACAUAACCCGUACACACCAUAUGAAAAAUUACUCUAGAGUUGAACAUGGAGUUUGAGACAAUGGACCACUUCAAAGCAACAAUGCAAAAGCACAACAUACAAAUUGGGAGACAGAUCUUCUAUCUUAGAAAUGAGAAGAAGAGGUGCAGAGUGAUAUGCUAUGACACCAACUGUCCUUGGUUGUAUUACUGUGCUAGGACCAAAUAUCUACCUUUGUUUCAAAUUAAGACCUUUAUAGAUGAACAUACUUACCCAAAAAGCAACAAGAGCAAGUCAGUCACAUGUGUUUGGGUUUCUGAAGAGCUGGUAUCAAAGUUUCGAAUCAAUCCCAACAUGUUACAGAGAGAGGCACAAAAGUAGUUUAAGAUUGAGUAUGAUAUUUCUGUGGGUCAGAAGAUGAUGUAUAGGGCUAUGAAAAAGGCAAACGAUAUCAUUGAAGGCACGGAAAAGGAUCAAUAUAUACGGUUGAAAGACUAUCUGCAUGAGAUAAUGAAGGUUAAUUCUGGGUCAAAAGCAAACAUAGGAACACCCUAAAGCCGGAUAGGUUACCAAAGUUCAUGAAAUUGUAUGUUUGUUUGACUACUCGCAAGAAUGGAUUUAGGGCAAGAUGUAGACCCUUUAUAACAUUGGAUGUGACUUUUCUAAAAAGUUACUUUGGAGGACAAUUACUAACAAUCAUUUCUCAAGAUGCGAACAACCAACUGUUCCAAUUGCAUAUUGGAUUGUGAAUGUAAAGAGACAAAGAAAAAUUGGAGAUUCUUUCUUGAGGAAUUAUAUAUCGACAUAGGGGACUAUAAUGAGAGUGAAUGUGUUUUUAUGUCUGACCAGCAAAAGGUGAUAUGCACUAUGAAUUCUUAUUUGUCAUGUUAAUUUCUUUAUAUCAUUGCAUGAAUAUCUUUCAAUUAUUUAAUCUACUCUUCAAUGCAGGGACUAAUACCAGCAUUACAGGAUAUCAUGCCGAGUGUUAAGCACAAAUUUUGUUAUAUACACAUAAACCUGAACUAAAGGGUAAAGAACUAAAGGGAUCAUUUUCGCAAUGUGCCAAAGUAACCACUGAUCAAGAGUUUAAUGAUGCAAUGAGCAAUAUGAAAAGGAUCAAUUCACAAGCAUGAGACACUACAAGAAAAACGCUGAAAACUGUAGGAUUUACUGUCGAAAUUAUCAAAAAAAUUUACCAGUAUAAACCUCGUCAGUAACUAUUUACUGGAGGAUUUUUUCGUCCGCCGCUAAUUACCGGCGGAUAUAAAAUUUUAAUUGCGAAAUUCUAGAGCUUGUUACUUGUUAAAUCUGACAAUAAACUCGACGGUAAACUUAAAUUUAAUAAUUUCAAACAAAAAAUUAGCAAAAAAAUUAUUAACAAAAACUAAACAAUUAUUAUAAAAAAAUUGAAGUAAUCAAGAAAAAAAGCAGCAAAUAAAUUCAAUAACAGCUAAGCAAAUAAUUUAAUAUAUAACUACAUAGCAAAAAAAUUAAUAAUACCUAACAAAAAAUUAGCAAAAGAAUUAUUAGCAAGAAUUGAAUAAUUAUUAUCAAAAAAAUUAACAAAUUAAUAAGAACAAUGACAGCAGCAUUAACAAUCAUUAAUAAAUUAAUAAGAACCAUAACAUCAAUAACGACAAAAACUAAAUAAUUAUUAGCAAAAAAUUGAAGUAAUAAAAAAUAAUAAUAGUUAGACAAAUAAAUUCAAUAUACAAUUACAUAUCAAAAAAUUUAAUAAUACCUAACAAAAAAUUAGUAAAAGAAUUAUUAACAAAAAUUGAAUAAUUAUUAUCAAAAUAUUUAAUAAAUCAACGAGAACAAUGACGACACAAGAAUAAUAACAGACUGGCGAUGAUAACAGAGAGAGAUUAGAGGUGGCGCAUAUUUUAGCAGGCUACAUGUCCACCAUAUGAAUGCGGUGGGGGUAACUAUUUAAGAUACAUAAUGUUUAUAGAUAUAUAGAUUAAUAAUUUAAUAUUAGAAGCAAAGUAGUAACAGUAAUUGCAGAGACUUUGAAUCUAGAAAAACGGAAAAUGGAAGCGCCAGUGAUCAAGUAUGUGUUGGUGCCUCCUGCUUCCUCAACACACGCACUUAAAGAGGACAGAAAAUGAAUCAUUAUCUCUUUCCUGGAUCAAAGGCGAAUAAAUCAUAUUGAUAGCAACACUAUAACUAAGCACAUUGAUAACUUCCCACUCAUUAACCCUUUUGAUAAUAUACAUUGCAUUUAAUUUCUUCUAGAGUUUUUCAUGCUUAAUCUGUUUCUCAUUUUGGUUGGGCCCAUUUUGAAACCAAACACAGCUCUAUGUUACAAACAUUUAUUUCGGAGUUCUCAAUAGCAUCAUUCUAGCUAUUUAUUUUAUAUAUUUUUUUCUUGAUAACAAAAGAAAGAAUAUCAUUAAUGUAUUGAUAGAAAAGUACAAAUGGGUGGAGGAAAGAGUUUCUCCAAACCAUUGGAAAUACAAACAAGUUCGGAAGCUUCAAUGAACGGCAACUUCCAAUCUCUCAUCAUGUCUGAGAGGGAAAGUCAUCUGAAAAAAUCAUAUAUUUUAGACACAGAUGCUAAACACCUUUUUCUAUCCCAAACAAACAACUUUUCCUGUGAAUCUGUCAUGAAAUGUACGAAGACUGUUCUAGCCAAAUGCUCCAAAUAGUGGAAUGUAUUGCACAUUGCCACAAAAAUUUAGCCUCUUUCUUUCUCCCCAAACCUGCAAACAUCAUCAAAAGAUAAAGGGGAGCACAUUAGUCGAACCCUUAACUAAUAUAGAGGAAUAUUUAUCUUGAAAAUUAUAGUAAUAAAAAACCAGCAUACCAAAAUCCACUAUAAGAAUCAACUGAGUCAACAGAAGCAUUCAACAAAAUAAAUCUAAAUUAAAACUCUCUCUGGCUAUUUGGCAGCCAUCAAAAGUAAUUGCAGCUCCGACUCCUAUCAUUAAUUAUUGCCAAUACAACAGUAACAAGAAUCAUGGCCUCUUUCAUUUUCUUCUUCUUCUUCUCCAUGUCCUCUAUCUUUUCUUCACACGCAAUAUCUUGAGUUUUGACAUCAAGUGUCAUCACAUGCUUUAGCAUAAAAAAGACAGCAUCUUGAUGUGUGGAACUUCUUCUAAUAGAUAACGAGAUAAAAUUGGGAAGUUUAGACUUUAGAUGGAUAACCUAAAUCGAUUCUGUUUAGGCUGUAAUCUGAAAAGUAAAUAAAGAUAAAAAGGAAAAUCAAAAGAGGCGACACACAUUUUAGAAGUUGGAUUUAUUUUUAAGGUGGAAUAGAAAACCGUAUAGCUUAUGAAUACAUCCUUAAUCCCCACUUGAAUUCGUUUUACUACCGUUCUUGGAGGAUUCGGUCAAAUAAACAACAGUUUACGGUUGCUAUUUGCUAAUGAUAAAUGUCACCAGUCAUGGGAAUUUGUUAGAUACUCCACCUACAAAGAUAAAGAAAAACAAGUUGCACAAUUUAGGAAUAGCAGGGAAACCAUAACAAAAUUAUUAACAAUUGUGAAAAUCAAAAGUGCAAAGUUAGUUGAAUAAAAUUGAGAUAGUCAAAACCUUAGUGAUAGUGAGGUCAUGGCAUUGCCAAAGUCCUCUGCCCCAGCAUAUAGAGAAUUUAUAUAACUAUUCUACAUAUUCAACAACAAUAGAAAUGUAAUUUUAAUUUGAGAUGUAUUUUACCUUCUUUUAUCUAUUCAAUAAGCCUCUAGCAAUUAUUUCACGAAGGAGUUUUCCUGCCGUAACAUUCUCAUCUUUUUCAAACAAAGCUCAAAUAAUGGUUUAAAAAGUCACAGCAUCAGGAAUGCAACCAUCAUGUUCCAUUUUUGACAACAGGACCAAUGCAUCUUCAAACAGACCCUCUCUAGAAAGACUAUUGAUCACAAUAUUGUAUGUCUGGCUGGAUGUUUAGCCUCUAACAGGAAGAUCCUGAAAAAUCUCCUGAGCAUGUUUAAGUUUUCCACUUUUGCAUAGGCCAUCAAUAAGCAUGUUGUAUGAGUGUAUAUUUGGUUAAUUGCAAUCUCUUCCAUUUAACUGAAUAACACUAGUGCCUUGUCAAGUUGUCGGUUUUUGCACAAGGCAUCUAUCAAGAAAUUGUAAAUGAAUAUAGAAGAAGGUUGACCUUUAUCAUGCAUCUCAAUAAAAAGCUCCAAAGGGCGAGAGAAUCUCUUUGAUUUGCCCAAGCCAUCAAUAAGAGUGUUGUAAGUUACCGUAUUAGGAACUAAGUUCUUGCGACACAUGUUUAGAUGUACAAAACUACAAGCUAAAAUCACGGCAAGAGAAAUAUUGAUGCAGAAAAAUAUCUGCUUUGAAAUACUUUGGUGGCCAAACCACACACUCAUUUAAGCAGGUCAAAAUCCAGUGUGAAUCAAAUAUUGCCAAUCUCCAUAGAGAAGUCAUUGAUCAACAAGCAAAAUAACAAUAAAAUUUGAAGUUGGGAAACCAUAACCGAAUUAUUAACGCACUUAUAUUUUAGAACCACAUUUUUCAUAAUAAUGUAAUUUUCCUUAUACAGAAUGCAAUGGAUUUGCAAAUGUUUAUAACGCUUUUUUGUUUUUCUUAGUUUGUAGCAUGAUAACAGUUAAGAUAUAUGAUCUCAUAGGAUAAAAGUAAAGAACUAUUAAUUACUAUAAAGAGAUCUUAAACACUAAACCUGUAAGCUAAACCUAGGAAUAUCCUCUAAAGAAUCAAUAAAGCAUAGUGGAAGUAAAAAGGAUGAUAGCAGUUACAAAAAUUGAAAGUUAAAAAUUAAUUGAAUAAAAAUGAGAUAGUUAAGACAUCAGUGUGGGAGCAAUUCCCCUGGUUUGCAAUUGCUGAAAAAGGGAAAUGGCGGAAGGGAAAUGGUGCCUCUUGGCAAGAGACCCCAAAAUCUGGUUAAAUUGGAUGAUGGAUGGAGGGCGACGCAGAGAGAGCAUGCGAGUGAAGGAAUCAACAGCUUCAUCAACAUGGCGAGGGGAUGUGAGCUGAGAAUGAGAGUGAAGGCUUGACAUUGAACAUGAACAGGAAGGAAAGCGAAAAGGGAAAACAUAAGGCACAAGAAAAGAGGGGAAAUGAAGAGAGAAGCUGAACCUGGAGAAUGAGAGUGAUGAAAAUGAUGCUGCACGCAACAUGUUUGUAUAAAAUCCGAUCAAAUGAGAAGAAGGGGUUGGAAGAGAAAAGAGCGAAUUGAAUGGUGGAAACAAUCACCGCAUGGAAACAAGGGUUUGUUGAGACUUGAGUUAGACACCAAAGCAAAGAACCAU